rnacentral:rRNA from 1 species
CCUACGGGUGGCAGCAGUGAGGAAUAUUGGUCAAUGGCCGGAAGGCUGAACCAGCCAAGCCGCGUGAGGGAGGAAGGCGCAGAGCGUCGCAGACCUCUUUUGCCGGGGGACAAAAGGCCGGACUCGUCCGGUCCUGAGGGUACCCGGAGAAAAAGCAUCGGCUAACUCCGUGCCAGCAGCCGCGGUAAUACGUAGGUGGCAAGCGUUGUCCGGAUUUACUGGGUGUAAAGGGCGUGUAGCCGGGAAGGCAAGUCAGAUGUGAAAUCCGGAGGCUCAACCUCCGAAUUGCAUUUGAAACUGGUUUUCUUGAGUACUGGAGAGGCAGACGGAAUUCCUUGUGUAGCGGUGAAAUGCGUAGAUAUAAGGAGGAACACCAGUGGCGAAGGCGGUCUGCUGGACAGCAACUGACGGUGAGGCGCGAAAGCGUGGGGAGCAAACAGGAUUAGAUACCCCGGUAGUC